rnacentral:rRNA from 1 species
GAUGUGUACAUAUUUUAAUUAAAAAUCAUUUUAUUAAAUUAAAUAAAAUUACAUUUAAAUCCAAUUUCAAAUAAAUAUUACAAUUUAUCAUUCAAAAAUAAUUUUAUUGUAAUCCAUUAUAUUCUUAAAUAUAAACUACAUCUUGAUCUGAUUUAAUUUUUUUUAAAAAUUUUAAAAUAUUAAAUUUCAUAAAAAAUAUUUUUUUAACAACGAUAUAUAAAUUUUUAAUUUAAGUAAAUUAAUUCGUGGAUUAUCAAUUAUUAAACAGAUUCCUCUAAAUUUACUAAAAUACCGCCAAAUCAUUUAAAUUUCAAUAAAUAAUUAUUUACUAAUUU